rnacentral:tRNA from 1 species
GCCUUGUUAGCGCAUUAGGUAGCGCGUCAGUCUCAUAAUCUGAAGGUCAUGAGUUCGAUCCUCACUCAGGGCA